AACGAACGCUGGCGGCAUGCCUAACACAUGCAAGUCGAACGAGACCUUCGGGUCUAGUGGCGCACGGGUGCGUAACGCGUGGGAACCUGCCCUUAGGUUCGGAAUAACUCCCCGAAAGGGGUGCUAAUACCGGAUAAUGUCUUCGGACCAAAGAUUUAUCGCCCUUGGAUGGGCCCGCGUUGGUUUAGCCAGUUGGUAGGGUAAAAGCCUACCAAGGCGACGAUCCAUAGCUGGUCUGAGAGGAAGAUCAGCCACACUGGGACUGAGACACGGCCCAGACUCCUACGGGAGGCAGCAGUGGGGAAUAUUGGACAAUGGGGGAAAGCCUGAUCCAGCAAUGCCGCGUGAGUGAUGAAGGCCUUAGGGUUGUAAAGCUCUUUUACCCGGGAUGAUAAUGACAGUACCGGGAGAAUAAGCUCCGGCUAACUCCGUG
rnacentral:rRNA from 1 species